GACGGAGCGCGUCACAGGGGCCUGUGGUUGCCAGUGCUGUUCCCACUUCACAGAUGGGGACACUGAAGCUGGGACAUUACAGAGCCAGGUUAAAAGGUAGGUCCUCCUGACCCCAAAGCCUGUGCCCUUAACCUCUUGCCUUACUAUAUCUCAGGGCUUGUGUGCCACUCGGGACCUCUGACUCUUGAGUUACAAGAGGGAGGAAGGACAGCAAUCCUUAGCACCAGGAUCUGCUGAGGAAGAAGAGAGCAGAGUGUGUGAAGUGCCUCCUCAUGGUGCCAGGUGACAUGAUGCGUGUCCUUGUACUCCCACGUGAGUAGCUCUCUUCUCUGGGAACACCUGCUCCGUCCUUUGCCCACUUAUCACUGUGCUCUCGCGCCUUUGGUUGCCAAGUUCCCAGAAGGUGCAGUCCACACCUGCUACCAACUUCCUCUCAUCUCCUGUGGGAUCAUUUGCCGCCUCUCUGCAUCUCAGCCCCACACCUGGGACCGUCUCUAUGGGAGUGGUUUAUUGGAAAGCAAAGUGGGAUUUGUCCACAGGAGACGUGAGUUCAAGCUCUAGUUACAUCCUCCACUGGUUAUGGUCUUGGACAAGCCACUCGACCUCUCCAAGUGUCGCCGUCCUUGUCUGCAGAACAGGGACAAUAAUAAUUCCCACCUCAAAGGAUUGCAGUGAGGGUGGAUGUCAGAAGGUGACCUGAGCCUGAGGGCAUGGCACGCUCUGUCCAGCGCUCGUGUUCCUGGGCCCCCCUGGCGUCCUAGGAGAUGUUCUGACUGCACCCAGCUGUGCCAGGCGUCGUCUUACACAGUCCCUGAUGCCUUGAGGUCACCUAACACGAACCAACUUAAAGAAAGCCUCCCCUCGCGCUUUCCACGACCAACUUCCCGACCCCUUCCUUCCCCGCGUCCUACUCGUCCACCUGAAUGCACCAGGUUCCAUCACUUUUCCUCCAAAACGUCCUAAAAGAAUUCAAAGCCUCACUUUUCUUUCCCUUCUUGCAGCAUCCUCAAUGCUGUCCCGCUCCACCCAUCCUUCGGGACUAUUUCAGCCCUUCCGGCCGAGUUCUUGCUUCUGACCCCACCACACCCUAAUUCUGCAGCUACCAGCAGACGGAUCCUCCUCCCACAGCCUGCUUUUGUCCCACCACCUCCCUGGGCAGGAAUCUUCACUAGCUCCCCAUUGAAUGACAUCCAAACCCAGCCUAGCACACAGGGAUCUCCACACCACGGCCUCAGCUGACCGACCCUUUUAAUUCCAUCGCUUAAAAACAAUCUUGCUGAAGCCUGGAAGCACCGCACUGCCUUUCAGUGGGUGGAUGGCUAAGUGACCUGUGUACAUCCAGACAACAGGAUGUGACUGAGCACUCAAAAGAAACGAGCUGCCAGGCCCUGAAAAGACGUGGAGGGAACUUAAAUGCACUUCCUAAGUGAAAGAAGCUGGUCUGAAAGGCUGCAUGCUGUGGGAUGCCACCUUUACGGCAUUCUGGAAAAUCAAAACUAUGGAGAUGAGUGUGCACCAGCAAGAGUGAACCCGAAUGUAAACCCCAGGUGACGCCGGGUGAUGAUGAUGUGUCCGCCUGGGCUCAUCCAGGGUGGGACGCCGAAAUAGCACGGCUUGACGAGCGGUGCUAGAUCUGCACCAGGGAUCCGAGCCUGCGAACCCAGGCCAUCGAGGCAGAGUGCACGAACUUAACCGCUUCGCCACUAGCUGGCCCUUGCAUGUUUAUUUUAAUCAGAGAGAGACUGUAGCACGGCCUCCGGGUGGGAGCCUCCUUUCCCCUCUGUGAUGCAUCCUGGGCUUCAAGGGGUUAGCCCUCCAGUGAGUGGAUGCCCCUAACUCGCUGAAUUACCUCCUCUCCCUGCAUUUAUGGUGUGCCUUCUGUUUACUGCCCUUUCUGUUUUCUUCUUUUCCUUGACCUUUCACUUUACGUUUCAUUCAUCAAGUUUUUAUAGCCUCUCUGCCCACUUCUCCUGAUUUCUUUAAAUCUGCUGGUUUGGAAGAUACAGAUGGUGUUCCUAUUCUUUUAGCAGGCACCCUUAACUUCCCCUUUUUAUUGUGUCAAAGUUUACAGAAAAAUGCAUAAAAUACACAGUGCCAGCUGACUCGUUUCUGGGAAGCAUGCCCCUCCAAACAGCCCUCCCUCCCCCUCACAGGCCUCCCUCCAUCACAGCCCUCCCUCCCCAUCACAGCCCUCUCCAUCACAGCCCUCCCUCCAUCACAGCCCUCCCUCCCCAUCACAGCCCUCCCUCCCCAGCACAGCCCUCCUUCCCCCUCAUGGUCUUCCCUCCCCAGAGCAGCCACUGUCCUGGCCGAUGGUCAUCAGAUCCCCACUUUGCCUUCUGCUUCCAUCACCUAUGUGUGUGUCCCUAAACGUUAUGGUUUAGUUUGUUUGUUUCCCAAUUGAUAUUGGUGGAACCGUAUGAUAUGCAUUUUUAUUUUUGGGGUGGGUGGACUGGCUCCUUUCACUCAACACUUUAUUAAAGAUUUAUCUACGUUGUGUGUAGCCAUAGGCUGUUCAUCUUCAUUACUGUAUAUUGUUCCUUUGAAUGAAUAGCCGCAAUUUAUUUAUCCAUUCCAAUGUUGAUGGACGUUUGUUUUUUCCCCCCAGACUUUGGAAAUUACCAGCAAUACUGCUAUAUAUACAUAUUUUACACGGAUUCUGGUGUUUGUGUUUCUGUCGGGUGUAUACUAGAUGUGGAAUUGUGUGUCAUAGGGUAUACAUAAUUGUAGCUCAUUGUGGUUUUAACUUGUAGUUCUCGAUUGCUAAUGAGGUUGAGCAUGUUUUCACAUGUUUAUUGGCCUUCUGGAUUUCUUGUGAAAAAUGUCCUCAAAUUUUUCAGUUAUAUUAUCUCUUUUUUUUUUUUGAGGAAGAUUAUACCCGAGCUAACUACUGCCAAUCCUCUUUUUGCUGAGGAAGCCUGGCCCUGAGCUAACGUCUGUGCCCAUCUUCCUCCACUUUAUACGUAGGACGCCUAUCACAGCAUGGCUUUCGCCAAGCAGUGCCUUGUCCACACCCGGGAUCCGAACCAGCAAACCCUGGGCCGCCUAGAAGCGGAAUGUGCGCACUUAGCCGCUGCACCGCUGCACAACCUCUGUCAUUUUCUUAUUGAUUUGUAGGAGAUCUUUACAUAUUUUGGAUAAGAACCAGUUGUUUGGUACAUGUGUUAUAAAUAUCUUCUCUCACUCUGUGGAUUGCCGUUUCACCUUUUUAAUGACAUCUUUUGAUAAAUAGAAGUUUUAAAUUUUAGUAGAGUUGAAUUUAUCAAUUUUUCCCUUUAUGGUUAAUGACUUACUUUUGUCUUAAGAAAACUUUCCCUACUCCAACUUUAUGCAGCGAGAUUCCUACAUUAAUUCUAAAGACUUUACAGUGUUGCCUUCACAUGCAGGCCUAUAAUGCACAUGCAAUUGAGUUUUACAUAUGGUGUGAGUAGGGACCCAAUCUCAUUUUUUUCCCAUAGGGGUGCCCAAUUCUCCCAACAUUCUUAUUAAAGCAGACACAAUCGAAUAAUAUCUUCAAAAAGGUGAGCAAAAAUAACUGUCAAGCUAAAAUCUAAACCCAGCUAAAGUGUCACUCAAGAGUGAUUGUGAAACAAGCACAUUUCAGAUGAAGACAAAGAGAGGUUUGCCACUGGUGAUGUGCACUGAGGAGUUUAGGGGCUAUAUUCGGGAAGGAAGGGAUUGAAUACAAAUGCAAGGUCUACCCGAAUCUCGGCUUGCUCCAGUAGGGGCCCCGUUUCCUUACUUUUUUUGAGGUUGUGACAAGUGUUCAAACAGAACCUGAUGGACAGGCCCCAAGUGGAGCCCGUGGUGGACCCCAGGGUUUGGUAUGAUCGACCCUCAGUGUUAUUUUUGUCCCUCGGCUGGGCUUAGGGUCACUGGCUUAGGCACAGAACCUCUGCUGAAGCAAGGUUUUGUUUACCUUCACAAAUUUAGGAAACCAGGGGGAACCUGCUUGUUCAUGUCCUCCUAAGUGGUGGGGAGAAGCUUUUACAAGAAAUAACUUUUUCAGCAAGUCCAGUGUAUUUUUUUAACCUCUCUCUUUUUUUUUCCCUGCAAUUGUGACAUGUCUACAUAAAAUUGGCCACAGGAAGGAAGUCCUGUUCACGAAGUUAUUUUCUGAACAUCCCCCUACACUCUAGAUUUCACAACAUGCAUACAUUUAGGUGGAGGGACCGAGACUUCGUGCCCUCAAUGGCAGCUGUAAUUUGGGAGUCAAACGCCAUCAGGGAGCAUUGAUAGCUUCUGUGUGAUCCCCUCGUAUAGACAAGAAAAGGUCAGAAUCGAAGGAGGAAUGAAAUAUUUACUUUAAAGAAAGAGACUUUCAGAACGGAGAGUCUGAACACUUCUGGAAAUAAGCCUGAAGUCAGAGGUCAACUCAGCGAGAUUCUACAACGGAGAAGUUGAGAGUUUAGAGAAGGACCAGGAAAAAAAUAGAAUGACCCAGCCACUGGGAGGUGCCAGUGACCCUGGACUGCUGUUCUUAAAAGGCCCCUCUCGCUUAGUCGUGGAGCCCAGGGCCAUAGCUUUGUGGCCCGAGGAACGUGCAGCCUACACUGGCCUCUGCAUGGCAACUCGCUACGACGUUUGCACUCGUUCAUCUAAAGCGAGGGAGGGCCACCCUCCUACGUCCUCUUCCGUCCUGCCUCUGUGAACUGCACAGAGUUUGCAUCAAGCCCUUCUAGACGUAAAGCCUAAUCGUGUAAGGCGUAGGCACGGUUGAAAUCAGCUGACUUCUUGUCCUCGGCUCCCUAUCAUCUUUCUUUCCCUUUCCUGUUGGAGGUGGUCAUCUCCAUGCGCCUCUGUGUUGAAGUAUGCAGAUUAUAAGCACCAUGUUCAGUGCCUGCUGGCACCGAUUGCUUCACACAUCUCAUUGAAUCUUUGCAACAGGUCUUUAAGCUGCUUAUUUCUAUCUGCGGUUGCAAAGGAGGACACAGGCUCAUGGCAGCCACAGGCACUUUUGGGGAAGGGCCUGUGCCAGUGUGAUAGAGGCAGGACAUGAGCGCAGGUCUGGAGCUCACUUGUCUCGGGGACCGCACCCCACGCUUCUGAGAGCACAGCUGGAGGGGACUCGCUGCCCUCCUGGUCAGCGUCUUUGGCCUGGGACAGACUCUGGCCACAGGAGGCCUACUCCCUCUGCAGUGUCGCUCUCGGGGGCCCGGCCCCCUCACCACUGCUUUAUUUAUUAAUGUGGCUUCAGAGUGUUAGGGCCCCAGACUGUCUAGUCCACACUCGUGCUUUAGACGAGGAAACAGAUGCACCCAAGAGGAAUAAAUGGACUAGAGGGAUGUAUCAGACAGCGUUGCUGCCCUGACUCAGCGGCUUAAAACAGCGAAGGCUGAUCGUUCCUCACGAUUCCGAGGGUGGACCGGCUGGCUCUUCAGUCGAUCUCCCCUGGCUCUUUAGUGCAGCGGUCCACCCAGCUGGGUGGCCUUUCAUCCUGGGUCCGCAACCCUGGUGAGAGGGCUCCAAGAGGGCCAAAGUAGGAGCUGCCUCACCUUGGAAGUUGCAAGUCACUCCUGCUCCAUUCUGUCCAGAGGCAAGGAGGAGUCAACCGACUCUGCUUCUUGAUGGGAGGAGCAGCAAAGCCACAUGACCAAGGUGGGAGAAUAUGGGCAGCGUGGUUCACGGGCGUGGGUGGUCGUUAUUGUAACAAUCUACCCGCAUGAUGUGGCCCACUCCUGCUGGAGGCAGAGCUUGGGCCCAGGACUCCUGAUUUUGUUCUUUUCUAUGACAGCAUGCUGUUCUGACAUCCCACGGGACUUUCUAGAAUCCCACAGAUUUUCCAGGAGUCUCCUUAAUUGACCAACAGGCUGCUGGCUCUGACGAGCAUCAGGGAGAGAGGUCGUGUGUCCACCCCUCCUCUCAUGACUGUGCUGAGCAGCGUCGAGUCCCUGAUGACCCCGGUGUGCAGCCACUGCCCAUACCCUUCCUCCAUAGUGUCCCAGGAUGGGGGGAUGCUAAGGCAGCUCUCCCUGAGGGGCUCAGGUGAUCCAGUAGGGUCAGGGAAGAAAAGAUUAGACCCCGUUUAUGUUUCCAUUUGCCUAAGAAAGAAAUGAACUUUGCUAAUGUUUCUAAGUGGAGAGACACCGGCGCCCUCCCUUGAGCCUGACGUCAGGUGUCCUGACUCCUGUAGGGACAGAGAAGACGUGGGGGAGGAGGGGACACUCCAUAACCCAGCCACACGGGCAGUGGCACAUUGAGACACGUGGCUCUGAAAAUGCAGUGGGCAAACCAUAAACUAUUUCCCAUCUGUGCGUCUAAAACUCUGGAAGCCACGUAUUCCGUAUGCUACACGGUAGCGUUGUAUCCUGUUUAAUCUGGACGGUGAGCAGCGUGAGAGCACGCACUGCCUUCUUCUUCUUUGUGUCCUGGGUCUGUCUAGGGCCCGGCUCGGAGCUCGUAGGAACUCAGAGUCUUUUAUGGCUGAGUCAAGUUCUGUCCUAACUGUUCACUGUGUGCUGAGCUCCUCGUGGGGGGCGCCCCAUGGAACCUGUUAUGAAAUAUUCCCAGAGGCACGGAGGGUGACUUCUGUAACCCUAGGACAGUUAUCCUUGGGUGCUUGGCUCUCUCCAGUCUUUAUCUUGUCUCGGGAGGCUGUUGGGUCAUUGACACAAGGUGGGGUCUUGGAUGAACCACUCCUGUCGUUAGGGGCUGGGACAGCCUUUUUCCAGAUUGUCCUGUUCCAGCAGCCUGAGGAGUGUCUUGCUGGACUCCCGCCAGGAGUUAGAAGCCUUCUCAACUGUCGGUGUGCUUCCUGUUUGCACAUUUGAUUUGGUGCCUAGUGUAUGUCGUCUUGCCGCCUUGUCAUAUUACCUCAUUUCCCUUUUAUAGUUGCUUGUCAUUCAAGGAAUGGAUUGGAGCAGAAGGCAUUUAAGGUCCUGUACUAGUGUCCUGUGGCUGCUGCAACAAAUGACCACAAACGUGGUGGCCUCAAACAACACAAAUUCGUUCUCUUACAGUCUGGAGGUCUGACCCAGGUCUCACUGGGCUAACGUCAAGGUGUCGGCAGGGCUGGUUCAUUUCUGGAAGGAGCGUCCGUUUCCUUGCCUUUUCCAGCUUCUGGGGGACAUCCGCAUUCCUUGGCUUGUGGCCCCUUCUUCCAUCUUGAAAGCCAGCAGCCCAGCAGCGUCCAAUCCCUCUCUGACUCUGCUCCUGCCCUCACAUCUCCUUCUCUGACUCUGACCCUCCCGCCUCCCUCUUACAAGGACCCUGCGAUGACAGUGGACUCGCCUGGAUUGUCCCGGCUGCUCUUCCCGCCUCAAGAGCCUGAGCUUAAUCACAUCUCUGUCUCUCUCUCCUUCUCCCCCUCCUUCUCUCUCUCUUCCUACGCUACUCCUUGGUUCUUUCCUUCGCGGGAUCAACACAGUUUGUAAUCCUGCGUGUACAGGUUUCAAGUCUGUCUCCCCCACUGUUUGAGAAGCUCGUCUCCUUGUUCACGGCUAUAUUCCCAGGAUCUAGAGAAAUGCCGGUAGAAUUAUGCUCGAGUUGAAAAUUUCCCUCUGACGCAUUCCCGUCCAUUUGCAGGCCAUGGGCCUGUCAAUCAGAGGGGAAGAGAUGCCCACACCACGUUCUAGCCCCGCGGCUUCCCGGCCAGCCUCGGGGUAGCAUGCUUAGGCAAGCGUCGUGGCCGCCUUGUGUGAUGUCAUGCUGUGGGCAGCACUGGGCCUGGUGGGCUUGGGGCAAGGGAAGUCACCCCUGCGUGAAGAUCCUGUUUGCAAGGGGACCUCAGCUCUGGUCUCAGAGGCUGGGCACCUUCUCUUCCGGCUGCUUCUCUUUUCUCGGUGAAACAGGAACAAGAUCGAGGGAGGCUGGAGGCUUGAGGAGAGUGAGAUAGCUGUCCAGGAGAGAGGAAAAGGACAGAGAGAUGGGGACAGUCACCGGGUAGCAAGAAGGGUUGCGGAGUGUCAAGGGAAGGCUGCAGAGUGUGGUCGGCCAGCAGGCUGCUGCCCUCCCUGCUGCCCCUGAGGCUGGGCUUGGUGUUGAGAAAGCAGAGGGCGGGCGGCACUGAGCCAGGCUCCGUGUUUGCCGAGCAGUGACACUGUGGGGACAGCUCCCCUUCCAUUUCUGCAGAGUGGGUGGGACCUCCUGCUGCAGAGUGGGAGUGGCCGGUGCAGAAGUGGGAGGGGAGCUCGAGUACAGCCAGACCUCCAGAACAUUCUCACCAGAACCCAGGUGAGAAACCACAGUGUACUUUCCUUCAAGGCUGCCCUUCACUUUAAUCUGAUCUCAUGCAACACGUGGAAGGAGGGGAGGGGCAGGUGGGGGGUGGGCGUGGACAUCGACGGCCCCUGUCCUGGACAGUGCCCACCGACACUGUCUGUCCCAGACCUGAUCCCCCGACCGGGAACUACUGUCUGAGCAGAGACUCUGCACACACACUCCUCACCUUGAAGGCAGAGUUUUGUCACCAUCUCUUUCGUGCUUAUGGCGCAAGUGGCUACCGCUGCCCAACAGAUGGAGUUCAUGGACGUCCGGGUCCUGGAGAAACGUAUGUGCUGGCUGUGACAGACAGGCAGUGGGAAAAAACCAGGCCCAAGAGCUUUGAAGACCAAGUUUCUGUCUGUGCUGUGGGCUGCUCCUGACAGGAGAGGGCCUUGGUACCAAAGACUGUACGUCCCAGACCGCCUCCCUUUCGAUAACCGCUGUCUAACCUUUCCUCUGGUGGUGACAUAGUGGCUUGUGCAGCUUUAGGAGGUUCCAGGAGGAAUGUGAGGAUCUGGCCCUAAGUGGUGAGGAAGAGAAGCUGGAGCAGGAGCGAUCAGUGAGGGAGAGCGCGGUCUGGGCGUUCCAGGAAGCACGUGGACCAGGACUCAAUGGGUGUGGGCAUUUGUGGGGAAGAGCGAAGAAGCCCUGACAUCUUAGUGAGGCUGGAGUAGUCGAGUCAUGGCAAUAGCCCUCUCCUGCUGGGCUGGGUGACAGGGGGCAAUGCAGUUCACAGGGCACAAACAGUGAGGGGAAGGUGCUGGGCCCAGUCUUGGGGUGCACCAACUAUUUCUGAGGGCAGGUGGUUCUUUCCUAGGAGCUGACAUCUGAGCUAUGCACCAGGCACUGGCAUUUCCUUCUCCCUUCCACCCGUGUCAUCCUGUGAUGGGUCCAGGGAAGACCCUUCUCUCUUCAAGACUACCCUUGAUGUAAAUUUUAGCCAGGUGUCACCUGAAGCGGAAGGAUGAGGGUCGGUAUGAGCAUACACAGACGGCUGAGGCUACAAGUUCGAGAUGUCCACUGGGGCCGCAGUUUGGAAAAUUUAGAAGAAUCCUCUGGCAAAAUGAAACUGAACUCUUACUUCCCCACUGAUGGUCUCCCGGUGACGGCAUAGACACUCUUGUCCUUGGUGAUAGAUCUGGAUGCUUUGGGUGUCGGCUUUGUCAAGGUUUAAUUUAUGUACAAUAAAAUCCCCCAAUUUGAAGUGUACCAUUUAAUGAGUUUUGACAAAUGUGUACAGUCCUGCAGCCACCACGAUCAUGACAUAAACCAUUUCCAUCGUCCCAACAGUUCCCUCAUCUCUCUCUGGGUAAUCUCCUCCUUCCACCCCCAGCUCCCGGCAACCCCCGAGCUGCUUUCCAGCACUGUGGUUUGGCUUUUUUUUUUUAUGAAUUGUAUGUGCGUAGAAUCUUACAGCAUGUGGUCCUUUAUGUCUGGCUUUUGAAACUUAAUGGAGUGCUU
rnacentral:lncRNA from 1 species